UACAGAGGAGCCAAGCGUUGUCCGGAUUGACUGGGCGUAAAGCGCACGCAGGCGGAUGCGCGCGUGGGGUGUGAAAUCUGGCCGCUUAACGGCCAGGCGCCAUCCCAUACGGCGCGUCUGGAGUGAUGCAGAGGUCGAUGGAAUUGCCGGUGUAGUGGUGAAAUGCGCAGAUAUCAGGAGGAACACCGGUGGCGAAGGCGGGUCUCUGGGCCGAUACUGACGCUGAGGAGCGAAAGCGUGGGGAGCGAACAGG
rnacentral:rRNA from 1 species